rfam:Gossypium arboreum cultivar AKA8401 contig_63116_3, whole genome shotgun sequence.
UAUUAAAAUUUUCAUCCAUUUGUACUGUUAAAAACUGGUAUAACUGACAAUUUAACCAGAUAAUGACAUGUGAUGUGUCACGUAUAUCUAAGGCUAACAUAUAUGGACCAGUUUUUAUCAGUAAAAACGAUGAAAAUUUUAACA